rnacentral:rRNA from 1 species
UUGGAGGGCAAGUCUGGUGCCAGCAGGCCGCGGUAAUUCCAGCUCCAAUAGCGUAUAUUAAAGUUGUUGCAGUUAAAAAGCUCGUAGUUGAAUUUCGGAAUCAAUUUGUUGGUCGUGCCUCGGUACGUACUGGUAUUAUUGGUUUCUACCUUCUGAAGAACCUUGAUGUCAUUAAUUUGGUGUCUUGGGGAAUCAGGACUGUUACUUUGAAAAAAUUAGAGUGUUUAAAGCAAGCAUACGCUUGAAUACAUUAGCAUGGAAUAACUGAAAAUAGGACGUUUGAUUCUAUUUUGUUGGUUUCUAGGAUCGACGUAAUGAUUAACUAGGGGAUAGUUGGGGGCAUUAGUAUUCAAUUGUCAGAGGUGAAACUUCUUGGAUUUAUUGAAGACUAACUACUGCGAAAGCAUUUGCCAA